rnacentral:rRNA from 1 species
UACGAAAGGUGCAAGCGUUACUCGGAAUCACUGGGCGUAAAGCGCACGUAGGCGGACUCGUAGGUCAGUUGUGAAAUACCUGGGCUCAACCCGGGAACUGCAGCUGAAACCGCUUGUCUUGAAUACCUGAGAGGGUGGGGGAAUACCUGGUGGAGAAGUGAAAUUCGUAGAGAUCAGGUGGAACACCGGAGGCGAAGGCGGUUCUCUGGGCCUGUACUGACGCUGAGGAACGAAAGCGUGGGGAGCGAACAGG